GAUGAACGCUGGCGGCGUGCCUAAUACAUGCAAGUCGAGCGAACAGACGAGGAGCUUGCUCCUCUGACGUUAGCGGCGGACGGGUGAGUAACACGUGGAUAACCUACCUAUAAGACUGGGAUAACUUCGGGAAACCGGAGCUAAUACCGGAUAAUAUAUUGAACCGCAUGGUUCAAUAGUGAAAGACGGUUUUGCUGUCACUUAUAGAUGGAUCCGCGCCGCAUUAGCUAGUUGGUAAGGUAACGGCUUACCAAGGCAACGAUGCGUAGCCGACCUGAGAGGGGGUACGGCCACACUGGAACUGAGACCCGGGCCAGACUCCUACGGGAGGCAGCAGUAGGGAAACUUCCGCAAUGGGCGAAAGCCUGACGGAGCAACGCCGCGUGAGGGAUGAAGGUCUUCGGAUCGUAAAACCCUGUUAUUAGGGAAGAACAAAUGUGUAAGUAACUAUGCACGUCUUGACGGUACCUAAUCAGAAAGCCACGGCUAACUACGUG
rnacentral:rRNA from 1 species